rnacentral:lncRNA from 1 species
AUGUUUUUUUUUUUUUUUUUUUUUCCAAGAACAAGACAAGCACAACAACCCCCCCCCCCGGCCAGGGAAAAAGGAACUCAGAUUUCUCAUUACAGAGGCAAAACUGCCCCUUUCCUUGGGCUUUUCCUACAAAAAGAGGCAUUUUCCCAUUCCAGCAGGUGGCAGGGAAAAGGGUUCCCACGCUGUGCCUGGUCUCUGGGCAGCCCCCGGUGCCACCGCUCUGCGUUUAUCCCCCUGUCUAAUCCAUUUACUCUAGCAACCACAUGUUUUUCCCCCCCAUAUCCCACUCUCAGCUGGGCAGGAUCGGCUCCUCACGGUGAUCCCGGGCGUCAGCGCAACGAAGGGGCUCAGGUGGUGGCAGUGGCGACGUGGGUCCCGGCGGCGCUGACGUCCCCCCCGGCGUCACGGCUCGCUCCCGUGAUCGGCUGCCUCCCCUCGGCACAAGCCGCCGGGCUUGUUUACGGCGGGGGCGGCUACACGGAUGCUGCCCGGGUUUCUCCGGAGAAACAGCCCGGAUGCUCCCACCAGGCUCAGGGGGCAACUCGUGCACCCGCACCGGAGCCCUGCAAGCCCAGGAUUUCCCCAAACCCUGCUCCGGCCCGGUGCUCCCGUUGCAAACACUGCCGUGCCUCAGUUUCCCUUCCCAUUUUGGUGCACCGGGAAAGGGGGUGCACCGGGAAAGCAGGUGCAUUGGGAAUGGGGGUGCACCGGGAAAGGGGGGGGGGGUGCACGACCUCCGCCUGCACGAAUAAGGGGCGCCAAGGGGCCGAGCCGCGGCCCCCGGGCCCCCCGCCAAGCGGGCGAAGGGUGAGCCCUGCUCCUGGCCAAGUAUGGGCAGGAAGGGCCGAGCCACCGGGGGCCACUCACCGUCCCCGCGGGCCGAGGUCCGGGAUGCUCCCAAACCUUCCACCCCAGCCAAGGGGGGAGGAAAACACCCCCAAACUCCGUUUCCCCCUAUUUUGCAGCUGCCCUUUUAUAGCUGCCCCAGCCCCGGGGCUGCUCCCGUUAUCCCAGCCCCAGGUGAGGCUCUGCCCCGGCAUCGGCUCCACCUGGGGCAAAAAGCUGCGGAGGGGGCAAAAAGCAGCCCCGAGCGCCCCCGGUGCCAGUGCCGGGGGGGGGACCCCAUGCCCCACUUGCAACCCGAGCUGGUGGAUCCCAUAA